CCUACGGGAGGCAGCAGUGGGGGAUAUUGCACAAUGGGGGGAACCCUGAUGCAGCGACGACGCGUGGGUGAAGAAGCGCCUCGGCGCGUAAAGCCCUGUCAGCAGGGAAGAACAUGACGGUACCUGAAGAAGAAGCCCCGGCUAACUACGUGCCAGCAGCCGCGGUAAUACGUAGGGGGCACGCGUUAUCCGGAUUUACUGGGGGUAAGGGGGGCGCAGACGGCGAUGCAAGCCAGGAGUGAAAGCCCGGGGCCCAACCCCGGGCCUGCUCUUGGAACUGCGUGGCUGGAGUGCAGGAGGGGCAGGCGGAAUUCCUGGGGUAGCGGUGAAAUGCGUAGAUAUCAGGAGGAACACCGGUGGCGAAGGCGGCCUGCUGGACUGCAACUGACGUUGAGGCCCGAAAGCGUGGGGAGCAAACAGGAUUAGAUACCCCAGUAGUC
rnacentral:rRNA from 1 species